rnacentral:rRNA from 1 species
UGGGGAAUUUUGGACGAAUUGGGCGCAAGCCUGAUCCAGCCAUGCCGCGCGCGGGAAGAAGGCCUUCGGGUUGUAAACCGCUUUUGUCAGGGAAGAAAUCUUCUGAGUUAAUACCUCGGGAGGAUGACGGUACCUGAAGAAUAAGCACCGGCUAACUACGUGCCAGCAGCCGCGGUAAUACGUAGGGUGCAAGCGUUAAUCGGAAUUACUGGGCGUAAAGCGUGCGCAGGCGGUUUUGUAAGACAGAGGUGAAAUCCCCGGGCUCAACCUGGGAACUGCCUUUGUGACUGCAAGGCUUGAGUGCGGCAGAGGGGGAUGGAAUUCCGCGUGUAGCAGUGAAAUGCGUAGAUAUGCGGAGGAACACCGAUGGCGAAGGCAAUCCCCUGGGCCUGCACUGACGCUCAUGCACGAAAGCGUGGGGAGCAAACAGGAUUAGAUACCCUGGUAGUCCACGCCCUAAACGAUGUCAACUGGUUGUUGGGGAAGGUUCCUUUCUCAGUAACGUAGCUAACGCGUGAAGUUGACCGCCUGGGGAGUACGGCCGCAAGG